AAGUUAAACAUAGGUUUACCAAAUCACCCUCAAUUUCAUUCCAAGGUAUAUACCUAAAAUAACGGAAAUGAUAUAAACUGCUAUAACAUUCGUAGAGAGCAGAUCAGAAAUAGUUGUCAUAACUUUAAAUGUGCAUAUCCUUCGACCCAUAAAUUUCACUUCUAAGAAUGUAUUCUAAUGAAAUAUAUUAAGGCAAGAGUGCAAAAUAUGUGUCUAAUAUAUUCCCUGAAGUGUCAUUUAGUAAAUUUGGAAAUAAAGUAAAAUAUCUAGCAAUAGGAAAUCAGUUAUGGCAUAAUUUCUAUCAGUCAGUGCAACACUUAGUACCUCUUUAAGAGGAUAUUGUGUUGCUGGGCUUUUUUUUUCCUGUAGUUUUUUUCCUGUCUUGUGGGGAUGAACAGCCUAGGGCAAACAUCUUUCUUAUGCACCUCUGGGCCCAAUUCCCAGAAGACGGACUGUGUAUUUGAAGCAAAGGAGGAGAAUGCGUGAUGUUUGCAAAUUCUUUUUUGACCGUUCCUCUGUGUUGGGGUGAGGCUGAGUUGCUUUUUAUGUGUCUAUCUGAGCGCUGGGGGAAGAAAGAUGCCCCUCCGUGUCCUAAAUGAGAAGAGAACUGUGAUCAGGAGUGGACGAGGUUCACAAUUUCAGCCUGGAGGAAGCGAGCAUUUGCUACUUUACAAAAGAAGAAACAAGACUAUUUUGUUGAAGUGUGCCAAUGUGAAAGGGUUAGUUAGUUAUUAUUGGUCUGAAUACGUGGACUUUGGAGCCUGGCAGGUCAACAAUGACACGCAGAAAAGCACACAACACAAGGGUGACUGCAGAUUGCUGGGCAGAGGGCGUUUACUUUCUGGUCCACUGAAUACCCCGCUCUGGAUGCUAGCGGCCAAGUUUCCUCCUGUGUUAUGUGGGAGGAAAAAGGAUGUCAGAAACUUGUCUGCUAAAGGAAGAGUGUUAUGGGCUGAAUUAUAUCACGCUAAAAUUCGUACGUGGGAGCCCUAACUCAUAGUACCUCAGAAUGUGUGACUGGAUGAGAUAGGGUCUUUAAAGGGUGAUUAAAUGAAGGUGAGGCCAUUAGGGUGGGCUUUAAUCCAAUCUGAUUGGUGUUGUUAUAAGAAGAGGAAGUAAGACUCACUGAGAGACCCCAGGAAUGUGCACACACAGAGAAGAGACCAUGUGAGGACACAGCCAGAAGGCAGCCAAGGAGAGAGGUCUCAGAAGAAACUAAACUCGUCGGCACCUUGAUCUUAGACUUCUAGCUUCCAGAACUUGGGAGAAAAUAAGUGUCUGUUGUUUAAGCUGCCCUGUCUGCUAUUUUGUUAUGGUAGCCCAGCAAAUGAAUACAAGAAUACUCAUGAUUUUAAGUUUC